rnacentral:lncRNA from 1 species
CUGGACUCCUAAACCAGCCAAUAUCUGUUCUUUUCUGUUAACAGGGACUGGGUGUUCUCUUGGAGAUGAAACUCUUCCCACGUCGGAUGUGGUCUUGGUUGGAAAGGCCAAGGGAGAGAGGCAUCCGUCCCUGGGAUGUCUUCCCCUGGAACCCAAAGACUUGAACGAGGUCAGGCAAGAAUUGAAACACCUGUGAUCAGACUCGAACCUGCAGCCCGUGGAGUGUGGUCUCCGGUCGCGGCCGACCUUUCGGUGAUGGCACGGAAUGUUUCGUGUGGACACAGCAAGCGAGAGCGUCCAGAGUACACGGCUGCUUGUGUGAGUCCAACGGCACCUGCGAAUCUCCAGGCCAAGCAGCUUGAUGUCACACUGAGGCCUUCCACUCUUGCUAAUUCUUUCUACAAGUAAGAAAACGCCUUAAGAAUACUUUCUAUAUUGCUAAAGGCACCUUCUAUCCUCCGAGGGUGCACUGGACAACCUUCUCUGUGACCUUCUGG